rnacentral:rRNA from 1 species
ACUAACAAGGAUUCCCCUAGUAACGGCGAGUGAAGAGGGAAAAGCUCAAAUUUGAAAUCUGGCGGCCUACGGUCGUCCGAGUUGUAAUCUAGAGAAGUGUUUUCCGUGCUGGACCGUGUACAAGUCCUUUGGAACAAGGCGUCAUAGAGGGUGAGAAUCCCGUCUACGACACGGACUACCAGUGCUCUGUGAUACACUCUCAACGAGUCGAGUUGUUUGGGAAUGCAGCUCAAAAUGGGUGGUAAAUUCCAUCUAAAGCUAAAUACAGGCGAAAGACCGAUAGCGAACAAGUACCGUGAGGGAAAGAUGAAAAGCACUUUGGAAAGAGAGUUAAACAGUACGUGAAAUUGUUGAAAGGGAAACGCUUGAAGUCAGUCGCGUCUUCAGAAAUUCAGCUUGGCUUCUGCCUGGCGUACUUUUCUGUGGGACGGGCCAGCAUCAGUUUUGGCCGCCAGAAAAAGGUGAGAGGAAGGUGGCACCUCCGGGUGUGUUAUAGCCUCUCAUCGUAUGUGGCGGCUGGGACUGAGGACCGCAGCACGCCUUCAUGGCCGGGGUUCGCCCACGUAACGUGCUUAGGAUGCUGGCGUAAUGGCUUUAAACGACCCGUCUUGAAACACGGACCAAGGAGUCUAACAUGCCUGCGAGUAUUUGGGUGGCAAACCCAUAUGCGGAAUGAAAGUGAACAGUUGGGACUUCUGUCAUGGAARGCACCGACGCCCGGACCAGACCUAUUGUGACGGUUCCGAGGUAGAGCAUGUAUGUUGGGACCCGAAAGAUGGUGAACUAUGCCUGAGUAGGGUGAAGCCAGAGGAAACUCUGGUGGAGGCUCGUAGCGAUUCUGACGUGCAAAUCGAUCGUCGAACUUGGGUAUAGGGGCGAAAGACUAAUCGA